AGCAUUUGUGAACAAUGAGCAAUAAAAGCCAAAAUUUGAGUUCACAUGUUUUUCUUGAAGAAUCUUUGAUCAUACAUGUCUAAAAUAAUGUUUUAACAUGGUUGAAAUGAGAUUGUAAUUUGUUCUCACACAAAUCCAUGUUUUGAGAUCAUUAUACCUUAGAAUAUUUCAUGUUUUGCACCUUUCUUUGGAUUUUCAAUAUGUAGGAAUCAAGCAUAAUUGACUCUUUAGCAUUGCUAGUCAUGUCACAACCCGGUACCCCCCUUGAGCCCGUGACAAAUGCCGUGACAUCUCGGUUGACAUUCGUUACCCAGAGUGCCAACCGGAACCUCGCAAGGCUUUAGUACCAUUUUUUUUUCAUCUCCCCUAUGAGUAAUCAUCGCCAAACCUCGUUUUUAAAGAAUUUUAAGCUUUUUCCCUUUCCAAACUGUGGAAAAAUAAUUUUCUCCUCACAGGGGCAUUUUCAUCAUUUUUCCUCGAAAUUUUUCGAACCCGACUAAAAAUGUAGUAGAUGAGUGGAAAACACAUAUUUCAUGAUUUAAAAUAAAGUUGGGUGUCUAAAACAUUUAUUGAAAAUGAUAUUGCAACUAUUUGAAUAAAAUAAAAAUAUUCAAUAAGAUAUUCUAAUUUCUUGUAAAACAAUAUUUAUAGAGUCAUCGGUAAAUAAUUUUUGUAAUGUAAAAGCUAAAUAAAUUCAUACGUACUAUAAUACAGAUAACCGAGAUAUGAAAUUUACUUUACAAUGACUCAUGGGCCCACAAGGAACAAAAGUGCACAAAGGCAGUAAACCUACAGUUUUUGGAGUAGUAAAGUCGACUAUAAUCCUUGACGAUAUCUGCUAUCCACAGGCUACCUCAGGCCUGAAAUGGUUGAAAAUGAGGGCGGUGAGAUUAUAAAUCCCAGUGAGUAAAUACAUAUCAUCUAAACCAUCUAAAGUUGAGUAAAUGGAGAUAGAUAAAAUAGUUUAACAUACUGAAAUUCAUCACCUUUUAACUUGUUUCAACCAAAUAAAAUCAAUUCAUAUAAAUCGAGUAAUUAACAUGGCUUAUGAAUUUUUUAAAACUUUGGCUCGUGCCAAAAUCAGUAUCAUACUCAAUCAUCAGGGAUACCUUGGCCGAGGGCUAUCCCAAACUGAGUCCGCCAAGGCUGUUAAAAAGUUAUGUACGCAUAAAUCAUGUUUUUAUUUUGAAAACAUAGCCGUUUCUUGGCGUUGGCCGAGUUCACCCUCACGUGGUGGUUGGGCGUGAAGUGAACUCUAAAGUUUGACCUCGGGAGUUACCCUACGCGCCUCUCUAAUUGAGGUACAUAUAUAUGACCAGGUUCCGUGCCCCUCUAAUAGGUUGGUCUACAGAACCAGCCCACUGCAACAAGCUAAACCCACCAUACAAUAAAAAUUCAACAACAUGAUAUGGCAAUUUUAUCAUUAUCCAGCUUAUCAAGGAAAACAACAGUUUAUACAUUUCAACACAAAUACCAAUUCAGCCAUUCAUGCAAAUAUUGUCAUAAGCCAAUAAAUUAAAACCAUAAAUUCACAAUACAUCAAAUGGUCUCCAAUUACUCUAUUUUCAAAGCCUUCAUUCAAUUUCAAGACCAUUUAUGAAAUCAUUUUGUUUAAACACAUUUUGUUUAUAAAACCUAAAAAUUUACCAUUUAAACUCAUUGUCCAUUAAAUCAAAAAAACAAAUAAAAACCACUCUAGAUAAUUAAGACGAUAGUAAGGUUACUCAUAGUACUAGGAGUUCGAUAUACUCCUAUUCCCGAUCUUCAGGCACAAUCUCUUUACUCUUGUUAGAGGGCUCACCACCUAUACAUCAUACGUGACACGAAUUUCAAUAAAUUGUGUCAAUUUAUCAUAAACUAUUUCAGGCUCUAUAAAUCUAUAUGAAUGCACGAAAUGUGAUGCAAAAUGUUCGAAUAACCACUUAAAUACGGUAUUCGACCUAAAUCGCACUAUUCUCGGUGUAAUUGGCUAAAACCUCCAAUUUAACUCCAAAUAGAUUUCUUUCACUUUCUACACUCCAAUUAUACUUAAAAUACCUCAAUGACUGUGAAUAUGAUUCAAUUUAUCAGUCCGAACCACAAAUCGCACAUGUCUAUACAUUAGGUAAAAAUUCAGAUUUUCAUGGCAAAAUUUCUCAUUAAAUUUCUAGCCUCACCAAUCAUUAAAUACCACCAAAAUAUCAUUAAAUAUCAUCAAUAUCAGCCUCAAUAUCCUCCCUAAAAAUUUGGCCUCUUGUGGGUUUGUGAAGAACAAAGUGAUUCCUUGCCAGAUUUUCAUACUUUCCAUUACCAAACAACCAAAAACACUUAAUUAGCUUGAAAUCUAGCAAAAUCAAUGCUCAAAACCUCUCCUCUCAAAUUCGGCCAGCAUGGGUUCAUCAUGCAAACUUGAGUUCUAAGCAUGGAAAAUGAAAAAGAAAGCAUGGGUAGUGUAAAUCACAAGAUAAAAUCACAAAAUUUUACCUUUAUUAGCUUAAUCCCUUGAAAUCCCACACUUUUUCUUCAAUUUUCCCACCUAGGGUUUGUGUUCUUUCCUUUCCUCUUCACUUCAUGCUUUGG
rnacentral:lncRNA from 1 species